rnacentral:misc_RNA from 1 species
ACAUGUUGGAGUGGCCUCCGGGCCGCGACCUCCAUAAACCCACCUCUGUGUACCUUUCCUGUUGCUUCCGCGAGCCAUCGAGGUUAACGCCUCGGACGCCGGCUGCGAUGCCUCUGCUGGCAGUCGCCUCCGGUGGAGCGCUCGCGGGAGGUAUAAACGAAACUCAAUUGUAAUACAUAACUUCCGUCUGACUGUAUAUAAUAAUAAAAGUUA